UACAGAGGUCCCAAGCGUUGUUCGGAUUCACUGGGCGUAAAGGGUGCGUAGGCGGUCGGGUAAGUCUGAUGUGAAAUCUCACAGCUUAACUGUGAAACUGCAUUGGAUACUAUCCGGCUAGAGGAAUGGAGGGGAGACUGGAAUACUUGGUGUAGCAGUGAAAUGCGUAGAUAUCAAGUGGAACACCAGUGGCGAAGGCGGGUCUCUGGGCAGUAACUGACGCUGAGGAGCGAAAGCGUGGGGAGCGAACAGG
rnacentral:rRNA from 1 species